UUCCCACACAAUAUUUCCAAGAAUAUCCCAAUAUAUUGCCAAAGCCACAUCUGGAUUUCCACUGAAGCUAAGCAGGGUUAAGCCUGGCCAGUACCUGGAUGGGAGACCUCCUGGGGUUCAAGGUUGUAUUAGUAU
rnacentral:rRNA from 1 species